rnacentral:rRNA from 1 species
GACGAACGCUGGCGGCGUGCUUAACACAUGCAAGUGGAGCGACGAACCAGGCUUCGGCCUGGGGCAGAGCCGCGAACGGGUGAGUAACACGUGGGUAACGUGCCCCGAUGACUGGGACAACCCGGGGAAACCCGGGCUAAUACCGGAUAUGCCCCCUCACGCGAGUGAGGUGUGUAAAGGAAGCUUCGGCCUCCGCAUCGGGAUCGGCCCGCGGCCCAUUAGCUUGUUGGUGAGGUAACGGCUCACCAAGGCUUCGAUGGGUAGCUGGUCCGAGAGGACGAUCAGCCACACUGGGACUGAGACACGGCCCAGACUCCUACGGGAGGCAGCAGUGGGGAAUCUUGCGCAAUGCGCGAAAGCGUGACGCAGCAACGCCGCGUGGGGGAAGAAGGCCUUCGGGUUGUAAACCCCUUUCAGUUGGGACGAAGGUCGGGCGGUGAAUAGCCGUUCCGACUGACGGUACCUUCA